GACGAACGCUGGCGGCGUGCUUAACACAUGCAAGUCGAACGCUGAAGCUUGGUGCUUUCCCUGGGUGGAUGAGUGGCGAACGGGUGAGUAAUACGUGAGUAACCUGCCCUUGACUCUGGGCUAAGCCUGGGAAACUGGGUCUAAUACUGGAUACGACAUGCCACUGCAUGGUGGUGUGUGGAAAGGGUUUUACUGGUUUUGGAUGGGCUCACGGCCUAUGAGCUUGAUGGUGGGGUAAUGGCCUACCAAGGUGACGACGGGUAGCCGGCCUGAGAGGGUGAACGGCCACACUGGGACUGAGAGACGGAGCAGACGCCUACGUGAGACAGCAGUGGGAAGUAUUGUACAAUGGGCGGAAGCCUGAUGCAGCGACGCUGCGUGAGGGAUGUCGGCCUUCGGGUUGUAAAACUCUUUCAGCACAGAAGAAGCGAGAGUGACGGUACGGGAAGAAGAAGCGCCGGCUAACUACGUG
rnacentral:rRNA from 1 species